rnacentral:rRNA from 1 species
UACGAAGGGGGCUAGCGUUGCUCGGAAUCACUGGGCGUAAAGCGCACGUAGGCGGCUUGCUAAGUCAGGGGUGAAAUCCUGGAGCUCAACUCCAGAACUGCCUUUGAUACUGGCGACCUUGAGUCCGGGAGAGGUGAGUGGAACUGCGAGUGUAGAGGUGAAAUUCGUAGAUAUUCGCAAGAACACCAGUGGCGAAGGCGGCUCACUGGCCCGGUACUGACGCUGAGGCGCGAAAGCGUGGGGAGCAAACAGG